GAUGAACGCUGGCGGCGUGCUUAACACAUGCAAGUCGAACGGUGAAGCAGAGCUUGCUCUGUGGAUCAGUGGCGAACGGGUGAGUAACACGUGAGCAACCUGCCCCUGACUCUGGGAUAAGCGCUGGAAACGGCGUCUAAUACCGGAUAUGAGCUGCGAUCGCAUGGUCAGCAGUUGGAAAGAUUUUUCGGUCUGGGAUGGGCUCACGGCCUAUCAGCUUGUUGGUGAGGUAAUGGCUCACCAAGGCGUCGACGGGUAGCCGGCCUGAGAGGGUGACCGGCCACACUGGGACUGAGACACGGCCCAGACUCCUACGGGAGGCAGCAGUGGGGAAUAUUGCACAAUGGGCGAAAGCCUGAUGCAGCAACGCCGCGUGAGGGAUGACGGCCUUCGGGUUGUAAACCUCUUUUAGCAGGGAAGAAGCGAAAGUGACGGUACCUGCAGAAAAAGCGCCGGCUAACUACGUGCCAGCCGCCGCGGUAAAAC
rnacentral:rRNA from 1 species